AGGUGGGGUGGUAGAGAAUACCGAGGGGCGCGAGGUAACUCUCUCUAAGGAACUCGGCAAAAUGGCCCCGUAACUUCGGGAGAAGGGGUGCCACCGCAAGGUGGUCGCAGUGAAGAGGCCCAGGCGACUGUUUACCAAAAACACAGGUCUCCGCUAAGUCGCAAGACGAUGUAUGGGGGCUGACGCCUGCCCAGUGCCGGAAGGUUAAGGAAGCUGGUCAGUGCAAGCGAAGCUGGCGACUGAAGCCCCGGUGAACGGCGGCCGUAACUAUAACGGUCCUAAGGUAGCGAAAUUCCUUGUCGGGUAAGUUCCGACCCGCACGAAAGGCGUAACGAUCUGGGCGCUGUCUCGGAGAGAGGCUCGGCGAAAUAGAAUUGUCUGUGAAGAUGCGGACUACGUGCACCCGGACAGAAAGACCCUAUGAAGCUUUACUGUAGCUUGGUAUUGUGCCCGGGCUCUGAAUGCGCAGGAUAGGUGGGAGGCUUUGAUCCAUUGCUUGUGGGUGAUGGUGAGCCAACGGUGAGAUACCACUCUUUCAGAGCUAGGGUUCUAACGGUCACCCGUUAUCCGGGGACCGGACAGUAUCAGGUGGGCAGUUUGACUGGGGCGGUCGCCUCCUAAAAGGUAACGGAGGCGCGCAAAGGUUCCCUCAGGCUGGUUGGAAAUCAGCCGAUGAGUGUAAAGGCAGAAGGGAGCUUGACUGUGAGACCUACAAGUCGAACAGGGACGAAAGUCGGCCUUAGUGAUCCGACGGUUCUGAGUGGAAGGGCCGUCGUUCAACGGAUAAAAGUUACUCUAGGAUAACAGGCUGAUCUCCCCCAAGAGUUCACAUCGACGGGGAGGUUUGGCACCUCGAUGUCGGCUCAUCGCAACCUGGGGCUGAAGUCGGUCCCAAGGGUUGGGCUGUUCGCCCAUUAAAGCGGUACGCGAGCUGGGUUCAGAACGUCGUGAGACAGUUUGGUCCAUAUCCGGUGCAUGCGCAGGAAUAUUGAGAGGAUUUCUCCCUAGUACGAGAGGACCGGGAGGAACGCACCUCUGGUGUACCAGUUAUCGUGCCAACGGUAAACGCUGGGUAGCCAUGUGCGGAGUGGAUAACCGCUGAAAGCAUCUAAGUGGGAAGCCCACCUCAAGAUGAGUAUUCCCAUGGCGUUAGCCAGUAAGGUCACGGGCAGAACACCCGUUGAUAGGCUCUACGUGGAAGCCGGGUAACCGGUGAAGCGGAGGAGUACUAAUAGACCGAGGGCUUGACC
rnacentral:rRNA from 1 species